rnacentral:rRNA from 1 species
AUUGAACGCUGGCGGCAGGCCUAACACAUGCAAGUCGAGCGGAUGGAGGGUGCUUGCUCCUGGAUUCAGCGGCGGACGGGUGAGUAAUGCCUAGGAAUCUGCCUGGUAGUGGGGGAUAACGUCCGGAAACGGGCGCUAAUACCGCAUACGUCCUGAGGGAGAAAGUGGGGGAUCUUCGGACCUCACGCUAUCAGAUGAGCCUAGGUCGGAUUAGCUAGUUGGUGGGGUAAAGGCCUACCAAGGCGACGAUCCGUAACUGGUCUGAGAGGAUGAUCAGUCACACUGGAACUGAGACACGGUCCAGACUCCUACGGGAGGCAGCAGUGGGGAAUAUUGGACAAUGGGCGAAAGCCUGAUCCAGCCAUGCCGCGUGGGUGAAGAAGGUCUUCGGAUUGUAAAGCACUUUAAGUUGGGAGGAAGGGCAGUAAGUUAAUACCUUGCUGUUUUGACGUUACCAACAGAAUAAGCACCGGCUAACUUCGUG